CCUACGGGAGGCAGCAGUGGGGAAUAUUGCGCAAUGGGCGAAAGCCUGACGCAGCGACGCCGCGUGAGGGAUGAAGGUCUUCGGAUCGUAAACCUCUGUCAGCAGGGAAGAACGGUCACUGUGCUAAUCAGCAGUGAAUUGACGGUACCUGAGGAAUAAGCCACGGCUAACUACGUGCCAGCAGCUGCGGUAAUACGUAGGGGGCAAGCGUUAUCCGGAUUUACUGGGUGUAAAGGGAGCGUAGACGGCUGUACAAGUCUGAAGUGAAAGCCCGUGGCUCAACCGCGGAACUGCUUUGGAGACUGUAAAGCUGGAGUACUGGAGAGGCAGGCGGAAUUCCUAGUGUAGCGGUGAAAUGCGUAGAUAUUAGGAGGAACACCAGUGGCGAAGGCGGCCUGCUGGACAGAAACUGACGUUGAGGCUCGAAAGCGUGGGGAGCAAACAGGAUUAGAUACCCUGGUAGUC
rnacentral:rRNA from 1 species